GGUGGCUCAGUGGUACAGCACUUGCCUUGCGUGCAUGAGGCCCUGGGUUCGAUUCCCCAGUACCA
rnacentral:tRNA from 1 species